GAUGAACGCUGGCGGCGUGCCUAAUACAUGCAAGUCGAGCGAACGGACGAGAAGCUUGCUUCUCUGAUGUUAGCGGCGGACGGGUGAGUAACACGUGGAUAACCUACCUAUAAGACUGGGAUAACUUCGGGAAACCGGAGCUAAUACCGGAUGAUAUUUUGAACCGCAUGGUUCAAAAGUGAAAGACGGUCUUGCUGUCACUUAUAGAUGGAUCCGCGCUGCAUUAGCUAGUUGGUAAGGUAACGGCUUACCAAGGCAACGAUGCAUAGCCGACCUGAGAGGGUGAUCGGCCACACUGGAACUGAGACACGGUCCAGACUCCUACGGGAGGCAGCCGUAGGGAAUCUUCCGCAAUGGGCGAAAGCCUGACGGAGCAACGCCGCGUGAGUGAUGAAGGUCUUCGGAUCGUAAAACUCUGUUAUUAGGGAAGAACAUAUGUGUAAGUAACUGUGCACAUCUUGACGGUACCUAAUCAGAAAGCCACGGCUAACUACGUG
rnacentral:rRNA from 1 species